rnacentral:lncRNA from 10 species
UGAUACCACUUACUUUAUUCAGUGAAUAUUUAUUAGCCUCUACUGUGUGUUAGGAACUAUUGUAGACACCAGUAUGAACGAGGUGGAUAGAGUUUCUUGUCACAAAGCUGACUUCUGGAGGGAAAAAACAGACAAUAAACAGGCACUUAAUUAGAAACUAUUGUGUAAGUGUCACGGUGAAAAUAAAACCAUGAUGUGCUAGGAAGAUAUGUGGGGUGGCACUACUCAGGAUGCCUUCGCUGGUCACCCCAAGCCUGUGUCUCCUCUGUGCCCAGCAACACCUGUGUCAGCCCUGCCCCACAUGGUGGGUCUCCAUCAAGACUAGGGGCCACCUGAGGGCAGAGCCUGUGUUGGUUCACCACUGUUUCCAACCAGACACUCAGAAUGUUUAUAAACUGCAGGAGGCUGAACAGUAUUGAACUAGGUAGAAGGCACAUGAGAAAGGGGGUGUGGGACCAGCCCCUGGGCCAGGUCUUAAUGGUACAAUCUCAUUCCAGGUUUACAAUAAUGUCAUGAAAUAGAUGCUAUUAUUAUUUCAAUUAUUUUAUUUUGAGACAGUGUCUUGCUCUGUCGCCUAGGCUGGAGUGAAGUGUCACGACCACACCUCACUGCAGCCUCGACCUCCCAGGCUCAAGUGAUCCUCUUGCUUCAGUUUCCCGAGUAGUUGGGGACUACAGGCACACACCACCAUACCUGGCUUUUUAUUUUUUGUAGAGGCAGGGUCCCACUAUGUUGCCCAGGCUAGUCUUGAACUCCUGGGCUCAAGCAAUCCUCCCACUGUGGCCUCUCAAAAUGCUGGGAUUACAGGCGGGAGCCACUGCGCCUGCCCUAUUUCGAAUUUUUUACAAAUGAGGAAAUAGGCCUGAAGAGUCAGGUGACUUGAUCAAGAUCAUGAAGCUACAAGGCUGCCUUGCCAGGAUUACAGGGCAGUUCUGUUGCCUCCAAAAGCCAUGCUUUUAGCCACCACACAUGCUGCUGCAGAGGUGGACUUCCCAGAAGUUCCAGUUUUGACAUUGAGGUUAAUAACAUCAAAGGCUGUGGCAGGGGGUGGCGAUGGGAUGGCAAGAGAUUGAGAAACAGGAGCUUUGGAAGAGAAACCUCAGCCCAUGGUUUCUCUUCCAUGGUGGUGGGGCGGGGGGGUGGUGUCACAGCAAGGUUGCAAUGAACUCGCGGUGCCCUAGAAGGGGAGCUGUGUCUGAGCUUCCUCUGGAGGGAUGUGUUCCCAGGCCCCAAGCUCAUCCCUCUUCAUCGCUCCCUCACCUUCCCCACCCCAUUCUAGUUUUUUGUUUGUUUGCUUUUGGCUUACAACAACACAAAUUCAUUUUCUUACAGUUCUAAAGAUCAGAAAUAUAAAAUCAAGAUGUCAGAAGGCCAGUAUUUCUUGUCACGGCUCCAGGGCAGAAUCCAUUACCUUUUAUUUUCUAAUUUCUAGAAGCCACUUGUAUCUCUUGGUUUGUAAUCCCUUCAAAAAUAUGGAACGCUUCACGAAUUUGCGUGUCAUCCUUGCACAAGGGCCAUGCUAAUCUUCUCUGUAUCGUUCCAAUUUUAGUACAUGUGCUGCCAAAGCGAGCACUUUUUUUUUUAGACAGAGUCUCGCUCUGUAGCCCAGGCUGGUGAGCCGUGGUACCAUCUCAGCUCACUGCAAACUCUGCCUCCUGGGUUCAAGUGAUUCUCCUGCCUCAGCCUCCCCAGUAGCUGGGAUUACAGGCGCACGCCACCACGCCUGGAUAAUUUUUGUAUUUUUAGUAGAGACAGGGUUUCGCCAUGUUGGCCAGGCUGGUCUCAAAACUCCUGACCUCAAGUGAUCCACCUGCCUCGGCCUCCCAAAGUGCUGUGAUUACGGGCGUGAGCCACCGUGCCCGGCCCCAUUCUUAGCAAUCUCAGCCCAACCCCACCCACAACCACCAGGUCCCUGUUCUUGCCCUGCACUGAGCCCUAGCAAACAGCCCAGGACAGAUGCUUCUAAACUCCCUUCCCGAUCCCUAGGGGCACAGGGUUAAGAGGCCCAGGCCCCAGCUGGCUGCCACUGGGAGAAGGAAGGGGCAAGGACCUCCCUGCUGCCCUCCUGGGCUUGUCUGGCACUGGGAAACAAAGGAAUAACUCCCCAAUUAGAGCACAGUCAGGUGUAGGCAAGAGGAAAACGGCUUCCCUCCACACCUCUAGGUUCUUUGGCUGGACUAUGAACUAAAUUGACAAGACAGAUCAACAGGUGAGAAACCAUUUCUAAUUAGAUGCAUACUAUGAUGGUUAAUACUGAGUGUCAAUUUGAUUGGAUUGAAGGAUACGAAGUAUUGAUCCUGGGUGAGUCUGUGAGGGUGCUGCCAAAGGAGAUUAACAUUUGAGUCUGGGCUGGGAAAGGGAGACCCACCCUUAACCUGGGUGGGUGCCAUCUAAUCAGCUGCUAGUGGGGCUAGAAGAUAAAGCAGGCAGAAAAAUAUGAAAAGACAAGACUGGCCUCACCUCCCAGCCUACAACUUUCUCCCAUGCUAGAUGCUUCCUGCCCUCAAACAUCAAAUUCCAAGUUCUUCAGUUGUGGGACUCGGACUGGCUCUCCUUGCUCCUCAGCUUGCAGGCAGCCUAUUGUGGGACCUUGUGAUCAUGUAAGUCAAUACUUAAUAAACUCCCCUUUAUAUACAUAUAUCCUAUUAGUUCUGUCCCUCUAGAGAACCCUAAUACACAUACACAAGGGAGUACCAAAAAACAUGUAGCUCGAAGGGUCAGAUGACUGAAGCUUAUAUAGCAUCCUGAGCUACAGAAAGAAACAGGGGAUGGGAGUUCUCAGGGGUUAUGAGGGUGAGGGGAGGAUGUGUAUGGUGAAUAAAGGCCGUCUUGUUACACAGAUGAAGUCUCCGGUGAUCAAAGUUGUCUGGAGCAGCCCUCUUCCUGAUAUAAGAUACUCUUACCAAUGUAAGCGUAAUAUAAUUUCCAUUAUGCAUGUAAAUUACAAAAUAGCAACCUAAAAGGAAGAAGCUGAAACAAAAUUAACAUAAGCAGAGAGCUUAUUUGGGCCAAGUUUGAUGAUUAUAACCUGGGAGCAUAGAAUCCAGUUAUCCUGAAUAUACACUCUGGUUAGCAGCAGUUGUAACUGGAUUUUUUUUUUUUUAAGACGGACUCUGGCUCCGUCGCCCAGGCUGGAGUGCAGUG